rnacentral:rRNA from 1 species
AGUGAACGCUGGCGGCAUGCCUUACACAUGCAAGUCGAACGGUAACAGGUCUUCGGAUGCUGACGAGUGGCGAACGGGUGAGUAAUACAUCGGAACGUGCCUAGUAGUGGGGGAUAACUACUCGAAAGAGUGGCUAAUACCGCAUGAGAUCUACGGAUGAAAGCAGGGGAUCGCAAGACCUUGUGCUACUAGAGCGGCCGAUGGCAGAUUCGGUAGUUGGUGGGAUAAAAGCUUACCAAGCCGACGAUCUGUAGCUGGUCUGAGAGGACGAUCAGCCACACUGGGACUGAGACACGGCCCAGACUCCUACGGGAGGCAGCAGUGGGGAAUUUUGGACAAUGGGCGAAAGCCUGAUCCAGCAAUGCCGCGUGCAGGAUGAAGGCCUUCGGGUUGUAAACUGCUUUUGUACGGAACGAAAAGCCCCGGGUUAAUACCCUGGGGUCAUGACGGUACCGUAAGAAUAAGCACCGGCUAACUACGUGCCAGCCGCCGCAGUAA